GUUUCUUCCGCGUUCAUAACUCUCAGUAGCCACGCAUUUUAGCCCAUAUACAGUGAAUUGGUUGAAAGAAGUGAUUCGAGUUUAACGCCAACUUCCCUCAUAAUAACUGUUAUCUUUUUCUAAAUGGUCGUUCAAAACACGCCGGAUUUAAAAGAUUUUAAACUGGAGGCGAAGAGCGACCUACUAGAGUGGGACGAUGAAUGGGACUUGGAUGCUUUGCAUUUAAUUGCAGGCUGGAGAAACUUUCGAGCCUUGAGUUUGUCAUCAAUACCAAUCAGGAAUGGAAAUUUUUUUAUCGAAAUUGGAAGACGAUGUACUUGUAUGGAGAAAUUGGAGUUACGCAAUACCAAUAUCUGAAGUAGUUGCUACUACACAAACCAGGUUUUAUUAAUAAUAAUGUACUUUUGUAACUUGAAGGAAUUCACACCCUAUGAGAAAAUCAUUGGCGAACUGUCUGAUGUAUUUUUCUGGCUUGACAAAAACCUUGAGCUUGGCAAAACUUACAUCAAUCUUGAAAGACCACCGUGCAACACUAUUAGGAAAAUGACAUCAUCUAAAUACCUGCUUUAUAAUUGCUCGAAAUUGACAACAUUCAUCUGUAUUUUCGAUGGUUCAGAGGAAGCUUGCAGUGACAGGCUCACAGAUAGUUUGCAUAGGUAAAUUUAAAUUAUAUAGUGUUUAAAACCAUACAAUCCCGCGGUAACUGCCAUAAAAAUUUUAUGUUCAUUCGUACUUUAAGUUAUUAAAUUUUUCUUUUGUUUUUUUUUUUUUAUUGCGUAAAUACGUAGUAACGCAUUUAUGUAUUACAAAAGUGUUUUAUGAAAUAUGUUCUCGUGUUGUUGAUGAUAAGAAAACAAAGAAACGUGUAAAUCAAUUUGUUCACAUCUAUUUACAUUGUAGCAUCUAUUUAAACUAUGUCGAUAUUAUGCUUUACUAUUUACUGCCUUACGUUAUUCAGGUGUGUGUUUGUCACUCAGG
rnacentral:lncRNA from 1 species